rnacentral:rRNA from 1 species
CAAUAGCAUAUAUUAACGUUGUUGCAGUUGAAAAGCUCGUAGUUGAACUUUUGGUAGGGGCGACCUGGCCUUGGGCGCAUGCCCUUGUUUGCCGUGUGUCGUAUCUGGCCAUCCUUUUCUUCUUUUUGGAAGGAAUCUUUUACUGUGAGUAAACUGGAGUGCUCAAAACAAGACGUUUGUUUGGUACAUUAAAGCAUGGAAUAAUAAGAUAGGACCUGGUUACUAUUUUGUUGGUUUGCAUAGCUAGGUAAUGAUUAACAGGGACAGUUGGGGGUAUUCGUAUUUAAUUGUCAGAGGUGAAAUUCUUGGAUUUAUGAAAGACGAACGACUGCGAAAGCAUUUACCAAGGAUGUUUUCAUUAA